rnacentral:lncRNA from 1 species
AGUUUCCCUGGCCGUAAAACGCGGGCGAUGGCGCUCGAUGCCCCGGGAGACGCCGGGGUCCGCGGGCCCUUCCGGCACCGGGUCCUCCUUCAGGUUCGGGCACCCGGCUGCCUCCACGCGGGGCGAGCGCGGCGAUGGGAUCGGUCCGUGCUGCGCUCAGCCCCGCUUUCGCUAUCCCUCUGCUCCAGGGGCAGCAAAAUCAGCAGAUGAGCCCCCAGCGCGCCUGCGGCCCACACACUGCGGCCGUAACAGUUAAACAGACGGGGAACAUUCAUGUGCGUAGAGCUCUUCACGGGGCGAUACAGAAAUGUGUCGUUCUAAAGCGUUAACGACCUGCAAUUUGCAUAUCCUCCAACACAUGGAUUUUACUGAUUCAAUUAUGGAUGUGUGCAAAGAAUCUGCUGCUCGGGCGUGGUGUCCUCAGUGCUGAGAGAGCCCCGCGACGGCGGUGCAGCUCCUCCAGGGCGCGCAGCCCCGCCACCUGGCGCCACCGCGAGGGAGCGCAGGCCCAGGGCCCGGGCAGACGCUGGAGGGGACGCGGCAGGUGAAGAUGGGGCACCUCCACUUCCCUUCUAAAGGAGCCUGGGAAUAGGCUAGGAAAUGUCCCCACUGUAGAAGACAGCAGGAACAUCUGACACGCGGAUAACCUGUGCUGAGCUCGUUAUAUUCCCAGCAUUUAAUUCUAGCCAUUAGGCAUGCGUUAGCCACAACUUCGCAUAGGAAGGUUAUUGCAGCUAUAUGGGAACACUUUCAGUUUCCCAAGUUAAAACAUGAAAUUGCACAUCAUCAUUUGGAUCCCCAAAGAGGAAAAGAAAAAUUCACAACCUGCCAGUGAAAUACUCAGGCCACUUGGAUGAAGACCGAGGUCCUCCAUAGAAUCCAGGUGUUAUUUACUAACUAAUCAGAAAUUAAUAUCAAAAUAGGACUUAAAAAUAACAAGGCUGUGUUAUUACAGCAGUCUUUCCAGUUGUGUACGCUUUACUAAUCUAAAUUGGGUAACAGAACUGGAGAAAAGGAAGACUACACAGACUUAUCAUAAGCUGUUAGUGAACGUGAUA